rnacentral:lncRNA from 1 species
CAUUGACCCUGCCUUCUACCAUGACAUAUUGCAAUUUCCCAUUGUUGGCAAGACCAUGACCAGAAGUCUCUGAAGUUGCUUCCUACCCACUGAUAGGCAUCCUGUAGAUUCCCUCAUGAGAUUUUGCAGAUGUGGUCUUCAUAACAUCAUGUUCAAGAAAGGAAAAAAGAAGAGCAUGAGAUAUUAAGUAUUGUUUUAUCCCUUGACUGAUGGACCACUGGGUUUUCCAGGAAAAUUAUGCCAUUACUCAACUUACAGAUGGGAGAUGUGCUCCAGCUUGGCAUCCAGAAUUAAAAGGGAACAAAGAUGAAGCCUCAACAGUGAGAACAAUAAGACUACUGACUGUCAUGUUAUCUGCCCUGAGACUACAAGUGGAGCCUCAUUUAUUACUUCUUUGGGCUUUAUCACACUGUUCACUCAUAAUGAUUUUGCAGUCAAUUAGAAUCUUAAGACAUUUAAGUUAUUUCCUGUACUGUGCCCAAUGUUAUGUGAAUACAGAUAUGCAAGAAGAUUUUAAAGUCAGUGAUAUUAUUUCCAGAAAAAUUAGGCUAUUUAAAUAAAUACAAAUAAUGUUAAUU